AAUAGAUACCCGGGUAGUCCUAGCCGUAAACGAUGAACACUAGGCGUAGUCGGUAUCGACCCCGGCUGUGCCGUAGCUAACGCAUUAAGUGUUCCGCCUGGGGAGUACGGCCGCAAGGCUAAAACUCAAAGGAAUUGACGGGGGCCUGCACAAGCAGCGGAGCGUGUGGUUUAAUUCGUCGCAACGCGAAGAACCUUACCAGGGCUUGACAUGUGGCGGAAAACGGCGGAAACGUCGUCCUCCCGCAAGGGACCGUCAUGCAGGUGUUGCAUGGCUGUCGUCAGCUCGUGUCGUGAGAUGUUGGGUUAAGUCCCGCAACGAGCGCAACCCCCGUGGCAUGUUGUAUCUCUCAUGCCAGACUGCCGAGAGAAACUCGGAGGAAGGUGGGGAUGACGCCAAGUCAGCAUGGCCCUUACGUCCUGGGCUACACACACGCUACAAUGGCCGGUACAACGGGUUGCCAAACCGCGAGGUGGAGCUAAUCCCUUAAAGCCGGUCUCAGUUCGGAUUGCAGGCUGCAACUCGCCUGCAUAAAGGCC
rnacentral:rRNA from 1 species